UCUAUGGCUUAAUGGUAAAGCGCGUCACGUAAGUAGGAUCGGAACGUCGUUUCGCCUAGUCGCUGAUGGCCGUAAAAGUAGUAUAUCCAAAUCGAAACAUGACGAGAUUCUCGGUUCGAUUCCGAGUGGGUGAG